rnacentral:rRNA from 1 species
UUCCCUAGUACGGCGAGUGAAGCGGGAAGAGCUCAAAUUUGAAAUCUGGUAGCCUUCGGCUGCCCGAGUUGUAAUCUAGAGAAGUGUUUUCCGUGCCGGCCCAUGUACAAGUCCCUUGGAACAGGGCGUCAUAGAGGGUGAGAAUCCCGUCCUUGACAUGGACCCCCGGUGCUUUGUGAUACACUUUCAACGAGUCGAGUUGUUUGGGAAUGCAGCUCAAAAUGGGUGGUGAAUUCCAUCUAAAGCUAAAUAUUGGCGAGAGACCGAUAGCGAACAAGUACCGUGAGGGAAAGAUGAAAAGCACUUUGGAAAGAGAGUUAAACAGUACGUGAAAUUGUUGAAAGGGAAACGAUUGAAGUCAGUCAUGCUCUUUGGAUUCAGCCGUUCUGCGGUGUAUUUCCAUUGAGUGGGGUCAACAUCAGUUUUGACCGCUGGAUAAAGGCACUAGGAAGGUAGCACUCUCGGGUGAACUUAUAGCCUAGCGUCAUAUACAGUGGUUGGGACUGAGGAACGCAGCAUGCCUUUAUGGCCGGGAUUCGUCCACGUACAUGCUUAGGAUGUUGACAUAAUGGCUUUAAACGAC